rnacentral:rRNA from 1 species
UACGUAGGGUGCGAGCGUUGUCCGGAAUUAUUGGGCGUAAAGAGCUCGUAGGCGGUGUGUCGCGUCGGCCGUGAAAACCUGGGGCUUAACUCUGGGCGUGCGGUCGAUACGGGCAUCACUAGAGUUCGGCAGGGGAGACUGGAAUUCCUGGUGUAGCGGUGGAAUGCGCAGAUAUCAGGAGGAACACCGAUGGCGAAGGCAGCUCGCUGGGACGGUACUGACGCUGGAGGAGCGAAAGCGUGGGGAGCGAACAGG